GCGAGGGGUCAAGAAACCACAUCCCCAAAUCCAGCGGCAUCUCAGAGAGAAAGGCUGAUGGGAAGCUGCCCAGGGCUGACCUGGCACAUGCUGGGAAAACCCCUCAGUGCCAGGGCAGGAGGCAGAGCGUCUGCAGCUCCUCCCUCCCCAACACAGGGGGUAAGGAAUACAGCAGAACGGGAAUCGGGCGCCUUCAUGCUGCUGUUACCGCCCUUGGUUCAUGGCUUCUUUCACUUGGAAACCCCAGGAGCUAAGUUCCUGUUGACGAGGCGGCCCAGCUCCCCAGGCGUGGCUGUGUUCCGGAUAUCCACAUCGUGGGGCGACACAUAAAGCUUUGUGUCAUUCAAGUCAAAGAACUCGACUUCUGUGAGACCCACCCACCACGAGUUGCCCCAGUUGGACAGGAUCUCCAUGGUCACGUAGAUGGCAUCUUUGAUCUCGUCUGCCCUCAUUCUCUGUUUGUCCUUAAAGAAGAGAAAAAUAACACCAAAGGAUUAAGUCAUGACAGGCUUGAAUUCGGCUCUGCCUCUGCCACCACUGCCUUCAAAAAGUUAGUUAACCUUCAGGGUCUCAGUCUCUCCAUCUGUACAAUGAGGAUAAGAAUAGCACCCACUACCUAUGGUUAUUACAAUGAUUAAAUGAAUUCAUACUGUAAAGCAUUCAAAAUAGAGGCCCUGUGUAACUGGCACUCUG
rnacentral:lncRNA from 1 species